rnacentral:rRNA from 1 species
GUGGGGAAUUUUGGACAAUGGGCGCAAGCCUGAUCCAGCAAUGCCGCGUGCAGGAAGAAGGCCUUCGGGUUGUAAACUGCUUUUGUACGGAACGAAACGGUCCGGGUUAAUACCCUGGGCUAAUGACGGUACCGUAAGAAUAAGCACCGGCUAACUACGUGCCAGCAGCCGCGGUAAUACGUAGGGUGCAAGCGUUAAUCGGAAUUACUGGGCGUAAAGCGUGCGCAGGUGGUUUUGUAAGACAGGCGUGAAAUCCCCGGGCUCAACCUGGGAAUUGCGCUUGUGACUGCAAGGCUGGAGUGCGGCAGAGGGGGAUGGAAUUCCGCGUGUAGCAGUGAAAUGCGUAGAUAUGCGGAGGAACACCGAUGGCGAAGGCAAUCCCCUGGACCUGUACUGACGCUCAUGCACGAAAGCGUGGGGAGCAAACAGGAUUAGAUACCCGGGUAGUCC